rnacentral:rRNA from 1 species
UACAGGGGGGGGCAAGCGUUGUUCGGAAUUACUGGGCGUAAAGAGCUCGUAGGCGGCUUGGCAAGUCGGGUGUGAAACCUCCAGCUCAACCUGGAGACGCCACUCGAUACUGCCAUGGCUAGAGUCCGGUAGGGGACCACGGAAUUCCUGGUGUAGUGGUGAAAUGCGCAGAUAUCAGGAGGAACACCGGUGGCGAAGGCGGUGGUCUGGGCCGGCACUGACGCUGAGGAGCGAAAGCGUGGGUAGCAAACAGG